AAAAAGCGGAGGAAAAGAAACCAACUGGGAUUACCUUAGUAACGGCGAGUGAAGCGGUAAAAGCUCAAAUUUGAAAUCUGGUACUUUCAGUGCCCGAGUUGUAAUUUGUAGAAUUUGUCUUUGAUUAGGUCCUUGUCUAUGUUCCUUGGAACAGGACGUCAUAGAGGGUGAGAAUCCCGUUUGGCGAGGAUACCUUUUCUCUGUAAGACUUUUUCGAAGAGUCGAGUUGUUUGGGAAUGCAGCUCAAAGUGGGUGGUAAAUUCCAUCUAAAGCUAAAUAUUGGCGAGAGACCGAUAGCGAACAAGUACAGUGAUGGAAAGAUGAAAAGAACUUUGAAAAGAGAGUGAAAAAGUACGUGAAAUUGUUGAAAGGGAAGGGCAUUUGAUCAGACAUGGUGUUUUUUGCAUGCACUCGCCUCUCGUGGGCUUGGGCCUCUCAAAAAUUUCACUGGGCCAACAUCAAUUCUGGCAGCAGGAUAAAUCAUUAAGAAUGUAGCUACUUCGGUAGUGUUAUAGCUUUUUGGAAUACUGUUAGCCGGGAUUGAGGACUGCGCUUCGGCAAGGAUGUUGGCAUAAUGGUUAAAUGCCGCCCGUCUUGAAAC
rnacentral:rRNA from 1 species